UUUUUACUAAUUGUUGUCUAGUGGCAUAAUUUUAAUUAUUUGAAUAAAAUAUGUUGAAGUUUGUUGAAAAAAUCACCGAAUAUUGAUAUUGCCGCAAUCAAUUUCAUCAUUUUCCCUUUGAUUGCAGUAGAAUACUGCAAUACAAUGUAUUUAUCUUUGUUGGUAUUUGUUAACAAAAUAAUUGUAUUCAGUCAUUCACUAAUGUAUGCAGUAUAACUUAGACUAGUCUCAGAGUAUUUUAAUGAGUGAACUUGUAAAU
rnacentral:lncRNA from 1 species